GUCACACCUCAAAACUUGACUGAAACUAUAUAUUUAUGGUUGGGUACUAUCCACUUUCAGGUAUCCACUAGAGGACACUUGGAAGGCAUCUUGUGGGUUAAAGGGGGACUAUGGUAUGGGCAAAAAUCUAUGUUGUUUGAUUUCGCCAUAGAAAACAAUUGUCGCACAUUAUUUUAACCAGCAGAGUGUAAUGCAGUGUCUGUUAGAAGUUCUUUACUAAGGUGGGAUAAAUCUGUGUUGGUGAAAGGAACGUCACUGAGUUACGAAAACGAAUAACAUUUUAUUAAUUGAACCAUGAGACUUCUGAUACAUUUUGAAUGUAACAGCAGUAAAAUAUAGAGUAAAUACUUCAAUGUGAAUCUGGCCUGUGACCAUGCUAUUCUGAUUCUUUUGAUUAAAUUCUCCUCUCUGAUAACUGCUGUCUUCCACUUCCAAGAAUAAGACUAAUUUUACAUUUAUCUUUGCUAUAUAACAGCUGUCAUUCAAUGGAGAUGAUCAUCAUUUCCUCUGCAUUAUUUCUCCCACACAAUCCAUCCCUAGUAACCUAUCACUUGCCUCUCAUGAAUACCCUUAAUAUUCCAUCAAUGUCCUCACUGGUAUUUCAGUCAGUUGGUUGUGCAAUUAUUUUCUACAACCCAAAGUGGCACUCUACGUGUUCAUGGACACCUGGAACACAAGCACAACUUACGUCAUAGUCUAGUAGCUAUUUUAAGAAACGCCCCAUUGGCCAGGUGUGGUG
rnacentral:lncRNA from 10 species